CACAAUAAACAUAUGAAGGCUGCACCGCCAACAGGCGGCAAGGCUGGAGUAUUUUAUUACCCAUGUCUUUUGAGUACCUGUACGUUUCCUCGGGGGGUUCGCCCGCCUCCAUUGGACAAAUGAUAAACCUUUUAUGCAGUUGAAAUCAGCGUCAGUAAAAAACUGUAAUCAUUUA
rnacentral:misc_RNA from 1 species